rnacentral:tRNA from 1 species
GCCUCAUUGGCUCAGUGGCAGAGCGUCUGUCUAGUAAACAGAAGGUCCACAGGUGAAAUGCGGUG